UCGAGAAUUUUUCACAAUGGGCGCAAGCCUGAUGGAGCGACGCCGCGUGGGGGAUGAAUGGCUUCGGCCCGUAAACCCCUGUCAUCUGCGAUCAACCGUUAUUAUUUAAAAGAUGAUAACCUGAUAGUAGCGAAAGAGGAAGGGACGGCUAACUCUGUGCCAGCAGCCGCGGUAAUACAGAGGUCCCAAGCGUUGUUCGGAUUUACUGGGCGUAAAGGGUGCGUAGGUGGCGGUGUAAGUCGGAUGUGAAAUCUCCGAGCUCAACUCGGAAACUGCAUUGGAAACUACAUUGCUCGAGGGUUGGAGGGGGGACUGGAAUACUUGGUGUAGCAGUGAAAUGCGUAGAUAUCAAGUGGAACACCAGUGGCGAAGGCGAGUCCCUGGACAACUCCUGACACUGAGGCACGGAAGCUAGGGGAGCAAACAG
rnacentral:rRNA from 1 species